rnacentral:ncRNA from 1 species
CGACCCCAGGUCAGGAGGGACUACUCGCUGAGUUUAAGCAUAUAAAUAAGCGGAGGAUAAGAAACUUACAAGGAUUCCCCUAGUAACAGCGAGCGAACCGGGAGCAGCCCAGCUUGAGAAUCGGGCGGCUGUGCCGUCCGAAUUGUAGUCUGGAGAGGCGUCCUCAGUGACGGAUCGGGCCCAAGUCCCCUGGAAAGGGGCGCCUGGGAGGGUGAGAGCCCCGUCCGGCCUGGACCUUGUCGCCCCACGAGGCGCCGGCAACGAGUCGGGUUGUUUGAUAAUGCAGCCCAAAUCAGGCGGUAGACUCCGUCCAAGGCUAAAUACAGGCGAGAGACCGAUAGCGAACAAGUGCCGCGAGGGAAAGAUGAAAAGGACUUUGAAAAGAGAGUCAAAGAGUGCUUGAAAUUGCCGGGAGGGAAGCGGAUGGGGGCCGGCGAUGCGCCCCGGCCGUAUGCGGAACGGCUCUUGCUGGUCCGCCGCUCGGCUCGGGGUGUGGACUGUUGUCGGCCGCGCCGGCGGCCAAAGCCCGGGGGCCCUAGGUGCCACCGGU